CGUUACACGACAACGAGCAAAGAGGGGCAACUGUAAUAGCCCAAUUUGCCCAGUCCUGUGUAACUAAAUAAAACCAAUAUAAAAACAAAAAUUAAAAGUCCAUUAAACUGUUAACAGAAACCCAAAAUUAUAUCCAAACCCAAUUAACCCCAAGCCCAAAACCUAAAUUUAACCUAGCCCACUAGCCUAAAAAAAACCUCUAGCCCAAUGAGCCCAAAAUGCAAAACAGAAGAAAGAAACCCUAGCAACAUUCGGCUCCCAGCGUCGCAACAGCCAAACCCUCCUCCGCGCGUGCCAAGCCUCCGCCCUCACGUGCGCCUCCGUACUCGCC
rnacentral:lncRNA from 1 species